rnacentral:lncRNA from 1 species
AAAGUCUCUCCUCAACACAUUUACCAUUCACGGCCUUUAUCCCUAUAACUCGAAGAUGACCCCAGGGUUAUAUUGUGACGGAACUGCCUUUGAUGUCAACUCUGUGAGUUCUCUCAGUCUGCAUUUAAUUUAUAAUACUUGUUAAAAUCCUUGCUCUAUUGUCUAUUAAAUAUGUUUUUUUGUGCUAACAUUUAUAUUUAUCUUGAAGAGUUGGAUAUGUUUGUUUGAUAAAAAUAAAUGAAAUUGCAUGUACAUGCAAUCUAUCCACAUGUUAAACUAAUUUCUCUUCUCCAUUAUUUUGAAAAUUAACAGGUAUCGGACUUUCAAGCAGAAAUGCAUCUUGCAUGGCCGAGUCAUGAAACUAACACUGAAGACAAACAAUUCUGGGAACACGAGUGGAAGAAACAUGGAAGGUGCUCAGAAGCUUUGUUGAAGCAGACUGAUUAUUUUAGAACGGCGCUUGAUUUUAGAAAGGCAUUUGAUAUAAUUGGGCUACUAAACCAGGAAGGUAAAUAUAUAAUUAACUAGUCUUUAAUUUGGUUCAUUGCUUCCUAAGGGGACAAACAAUGAGAUUACUAUUCAAAAAUGUGUAGGGAUUUACCCGAAUAACGACCUUUAUCGUCCUAAAAUGAUAAAAGAAGCAAUCAAAAAGCACUUGAAUGCUGUGCCAGAAGUCGAUUUCACCAAAAACGAAAACUCGGAAUAUGUGCUUACGGAUAUUAAUCUAUGUGUGAACCAACAAGCAACAAGGUUCGUAGAUUGCCCUACCGAUGACGCUACUGAUGAUUACCGCCUCAAAUUCGUAAGACUACCUUCUAAAAUGAAAACUGCGGAUCCGAGGACCAAUUCUAUAAUAUAGCACAAAUGGUACGGCUACAAAAUGGACUACUAUCUUGUUUAAUUAAUGCUUUUGGGAGUAUUAUCUAUGUAAAAUAGUUGAGUGCUAGGGUUGGAUAAUUAGUACUAUGAGGCCAACCUUUAGUACCUUGAAUAAUGUCCAUGUAGCAAAAGUUUAUGCCACUCUGGCCUUGGUGUGUAUGGAUAAUUAUAAUAAAUAACUACUUUUAUCAGCAAAAAAAUUAAAAUCCAAGUAUUUUCUUUUGUUUUUAUUUUUGAUAAGAACUUAAUUUUAUGUAGUUUGAUGGCAUUGUUUAUCUAGGAAACUGAUAUUUCCAC